AGCUAGUGGUGGGAGUUAAAAUCUCUUCCCUCUG
rnacentral:tRNA from 1 species